GACGAACGCUGGCGGCGUGCUUAACACAUGCAAGUCGAACGGAAAGGCCCUUCUUUUGUGGGGUGCUCGAGUGGCGAACGGGUGAGUAACACGUUAGUAACCGGCCCUUGACUUUGGGAUAACUUCAGGAAACUGGGGCUAGUACCGGAUAGGAGCGCAUGCUGCAUGGUGGGGGUUGGAAAGUUUCGGCGGUUGGGGUUGGGCUCGCGGCUUAUCAGCUUGUUGGUGGGGUGGUGGCUUACCAAAGCUUUGACGGGUAGCCGGCCUGGGGGGGUGACCGGCCAACAUGGGGACGGAGAUACGCCCCACACACUGCCGGGGGAAGGAGCGGGGGAAAAUGGCCCAAGGGGCGAAAGACGCUGGCGGAAAAGCGGCGUGCGGAAGGAGGGCGUCCGGGUGGCAAGCCGCUCUCGCCCGGGAGGAGGAGUAAGGGAGGGAAAUGGGGAAAGAGGAACGGGUAACUUAGUG
rnacentral:rRNA from 1 species